CCCGAUCAGAGCUACUUGGACUUCAGUUCUUCCUCGGGAAGGUGCGCUCCCUCACGUCACCCCGCCGAAGGC
rfam:Tetrasphaera jenkinsii Ben 74 genomic scaffold, 1541_scaffold1